AAAAAAGACACACCAUGGUAGGAAAGCAUAUUACUCUACUCAUGGAAAGUUCCUUAUGUGUUUGAGUUUGAGUCUGUCCUGUGGAUGCUCUGUGUUUGAUUAUGUUUGUUUGUUGGUUAUGUCUGUAUGAUGUUUAUAUUGGCGGCCUGAUUUAAUUCCUGUGUUGUGCCAGUAGGGCAGUGCUCAGCGGAGCUGUGGUUUCUGAGCAGUAGGUCAUGAUAUGAAUAGCCCUUGUGUUUGUUUAUGAAGAAUGGGUAUGAAGACUUGUUUACAGAGAGAGGCAGAUCAUAACCAGGUGGCAGUGCGUUCAUGAUGCAUUUCUAAUGACAGGCUGAGCUCUUUUCAGACAGAUGCAUGUUGACCUGCAGCUCUCAGAGGAGCACAGACGCUGAAGCUCAGUGUACAUGAGUUGCUGAUCAGCUCUUGUGUUGUGUGUCUGGCAGGCCUGGAUCCACAGAGACGUUUAGGAAAAUCCCUGGCGGAGAUGGAACCGUAUCUGCACGAGGGCUCCGGAGGGCGGCCGCUGCCUCUCAGUAGAUGUCCUUGCCAGAACGCCAUUGACAGGAUGACAGAAGAGCUGGAAUAUGCUGAUAAAACUCUAGACGUCCAGGGAGGAUGUCCAUCAAAUGCUGAGCGCAGUUGUCAGUCGGAGCCGGGUGAGAUGUGUGUGUGUGUGUGUGUGUGUGUGUGUUCUGGUACAAAGCACAUCAUAUUGUCUGCUUGCAGUAUAACUGUUAUUUCACUGAUAUUCUUUCAGAAUAGUGUUGGUUCAUCGAACACCAAAACAAAAGAAGCAUGGUGCUACUAUAGUUUUGUUGAGGAAAAUGACAUAUUUCUGGCUGGAGAUGCUGAUCCUCAGACCCGUGAAUAGGCUCACCAUAGAGCUGCAGUGUUUGACCAGUUCAUGCACUAACCAUAUAACUGUGCAUCUUUAACAAAAUAAAAAGACAGACCAAAAGCACUCACUGACUCCAUCAUGUUUCCAGUUGGCUCUGUUGGGAACAGCCCUUGGUAAUACUGUGUUUUUGGCCAUGAACCAUGUGUUUUGGAUAUUGCCAUAGUUAAUUCCAUGGUGUUUAUAUAUUAUAUGGUAUAUUUCUGUAUUAUUUUAAUAAUUCAGUACCAUGAUAUUGUCCAGGCCAGUGGUCCAGCGCCC
ensembl:lncRNA